rnacentral:tRNA from 1 species
UUCCUGGUGGUCUAGUGGUUAAGAUUUGGCACUUCCACUGCUGCAACCUAGGUUUGAUCCUUGGUCUGGGAG